rnacentral:rRNA from 1 species
GAUUUUCGCAAUGCCCGAAAGGGUGACGAAGCGACGCCGCGUGGGUGAGGAAGGCCCUCGGGUUGUAAAGCCCUGUCAGGAGUUAAGAAAUGUAGAUACGCUAAUAUCGUAUCUAUUUGACAAAGGCUCCAAAGGAAGCCACGGCUAACUCUGUGCCAGCAGCCGCGGUAAUACAGAGGUGGCAAGCGUUGUUCGGAAUUAUUGGGCGUAAAGAGCACGUAGGUGGAUUUGUAAGUCAGAUGUGAAAGCCUUCUGUUCAACGGAAGAAUUGCAUCUGAAACUACAAACCUUGAGUAUAGGAGGGGAGAAUGGAACUUCUGGCGGAGCGGUGAAAUGCGUAGAUAUCAGAAGGAACGCCGGCGGCGAAAGCGAUUCUCUGGCCUAUUACUGACACUCAGUGUGCGAAAGCUAGGGGAGCAAACGGGAUUAGAUACCCCGGUAGUCCUAGCCGUAAACGAUGGGCACUAAGUAGAGGGG